rnacentral:ribozyme from 13 species
UAUUUUGGUUUUUCAUUUUUUUCUUUUUCUUUUCCCCUGAGAAGGGGAAAUUCAAAACAACAACAUAGCAGUGAUGAGAGG